AAAUGACAUGUACCAAUAACAUGAAAUGCAAAAAUAAAUUAAAAUAAAAAAAUAUUUGCAUUGGAAUAUUUAAAUUUAUUAAACAUUUAUAUCGAAACUUAUUAAAUUUAGUUUUUGCAAGCACUAAAAUAAACACUAUCAUGCUUUUUUAUGAAAGUUCAUCAAAUUCAGAUGAGGAAUAAGGCCCUAAGAUGCAGGAUUCGUGAUAAAAGCAAUUCCAUGACUUUACCUAAAACAGCAUUAAGGAAGCGGCUUAGACAAUGUGUAAAAUUGUACGGGACGUUGUUAAAGGAAUGGAAAUAAAACUUUGUCACAGUUCAUUAAGUUUUCGCCUGACUACCUAUCUCAGUGCACAUAAUACUUUGAUUAGAAAUAUAAACUUCCAGGGGGUAGACUUGUCGACUAAAUGACAGUGAAAAAGAUGUGCAAAUAACUAUAAAAAUUUUUAAUUAUCGGAUGAAUUAAUGGUACACAUUUUCGUCUUCAAAAACCAACUGCGAAAUAAUAAGUUUUUCAACAGAAAAAAUAUAUUUGUGACCACGAACAUCGUAUUUCUACUAUAGAAUUUAAAUAUGGUGGAGCCGCUCACGAUUCCUUUGUAUGGCGCAAUUAAUUUUAUUUACAAGUGUCCUC